rnacentral:tRNA from 1 species
UCCUUGUUAGCUCAGUUGGUAGAGCGUUCGGCUUUUAAGAGACUUUAUCUUAAAGCAAGGAUACCGAAAUGUCAGGGGUUCGAGCCCCCUAUGAGGAG